rnacentral:rRNA from 1 species
AGAGUUUUUAAAUAAAUUCUUUUUUCAUUUGAUCUGAAGUCAAGUGGGAUUACCCGCUGAUUUCAAU